UACAAGAACGAGGUGCAGGUCUGGA
rnacentral:piRNA from 1 species